CCUAAAGGGCGGAGGGAGAAAACGCGGCAAAUGCUAACUGAAUGGAAAGCAGAGUUGGGGCGCUGUCCGAGAUGCCCCGCUGCAGAACUAGUGAACCUAGAAAUGUAAAGACCAGAAUGUGAUCACAGAGAACUUACUUGUGCAUCUAAAAAAGAAACGUUCGUCCUAGCAGUCAGGAAACCGUCUGGAAGACGCGUUCAGUAAGAAGCAGAAAAGAAACAAGUCUGCAUCCAGGGGAUGAGGCAGAAGGUGACUUUUUGACCACAGUGACCUGGUUAAGCAGGGAGCAGCUGGAAAACUGUCUAAGGAAGUGUCAAGCUGGUGAGCAGAGAAACUUCCAUGCCAAGUUACAAAUCCUAAUCAAGGAUCCAAACAACUGAAAGCACAAGUGAUUCUUGGGUAUUCUGAGGAAGUUACUCAGACAUUACGUGGGGCUAGGGAGAAAAAAAAAAUUCCCUUUUGUGUUUGUUUUAAAUAUUUAUUUAUUUAUUUGAGAGAGACUGCGGGCACAUGGCUCCUGCAGCCAGAGGGAGGGAAUCCUAAAGCAGACUCACCACUGAGCAAGCAUCUGAGGGGGGCUCCAUCCCAGGAUCCCGAGAUCAUGACCUGAGCCGAAAUCAAGUGUCAGGUGCUCAACCAACCAAUCCACCCAGGAUCCCCAAGAUUUUCCCUUUUGGAUAGCCAC